GAUGAACGCUAGCGGCAGGCUUAACACAUGCAAGUCGAGGGGCAGCACGUCUUCGGAUGGUGGCGACCGGCGCACGGGUGAGUAACGCGUAUGCAAUCUACCUUUUACAGGGGCAUAGCCCGGGGAAACCCGGAUUAAUAUCCUAUAGUACCAUUAUAUAGCAUUAUAUUAUGGUUAAAGUUUCGGCGGUAAAAGAUGAGCAUGCGUCCUAUUAGCUUGAUGGUAAGGUAACGGCUUACCAUGGCUAUGAUAGGUAGGGGUCCUGAGAGGGAGACCCCCCACACUGGUACUGAGACACGGACCAGACUCCUACGGGAGGCAGCAGUGAGGAAUAUUGGACAAUGGGCGAGAGCCUGAUCCAGCCAUGCCGCGUGCAGGAAGACGGCCCUAUGGGUUGUAAACUGCUUUUAUACGGGAAGAAACACCCCUUCGUGAAGGGACUUGACGGUACCGUAUGAAUAAGGAUCGGCUAACUCCGUGCCAGCAGCCGCGGUAAUACGGAGGAU
rnacentral:rRNA from 1 species